rnacentral:ribozyme from 1 species
AGUCGUCACAGCGACUCUAAACAGGCAUUAGGCUGUGAGCGUUCCUCCCACUUCGGGAGGAGGUUGUU